rnacentral:lncRNA from 1 species
GUUGUUGUGUUACAUCUGCUGAUGCUGCUGCUGUCGUUACUGCUGCUGCUGCUGAUGCUGUUUAUUCUCCAUGUACGUGUGUAUCUAAAUGGAUUACUAGGGUUAGAGUUCUUUGUAUGGCUUCUCUCGUCUGUGUGUUUUCGUGGCACGUACACCCAACAAGCCAGCAGAUGUCAGACGUGCCAGCCAUGGCAGAGGUCUGAACUCUAUACAGAGUUAUUGUGUCGCCACAUGUAUCGCACACAAUUACAGUGCUGUUGUUGUCUGUUAUCGUAGUACUUGCUGUUGUUGUUGUUGUUUCGUGUAUCUUGUAUCUUGGGUUCCCUCUCUUGUAUUUCACAAGGCACUGAUUCUCCUUUGGAAUGUGCAGGAUACACUGUUGCAAAGGUCAGACGUGCCAGAUCAGCUGGCAGAGGUCUGAACCAUACAGAGUUAUUGUACGGUCUCAUGUGUCUCUUCACACUACUCAGACUUGAGAAGGCAGCAUCACACAGAUCACACUUAUACGGGUUCUCUCCCGUGUGCGCGUGUGCGCAUGUGCGCGAGUCUCCGCUGCUCAUGCCUCGCCGACAUAUCUGUCAGCAAGUCUCCCAGCGACCGUCAGACUUCCCUUAAAGUUAAGGGAGAGGUCUGAAAGAAAGACUUGUCAAGUCUUUCUCUAUUUUGUUCUCAUGUGCGCGCUGCUUACCCGGUGAUGAAAACAUCUAGGAGGGAUGAAUUCAACGUCAGACAAUGCAUUGCGAUGCAGAGGUCUGAGAACCGAUCCUAGAUGGUCAGGUUCUAUUACUGAUAACUUGAUGUUGUUGUUGUU